rnacentral:rRNA from 1 species
GCGAUCAUACCAGCACUAAUGCACCGGAUCCCAUCAGAACUCCGAAUUGCUUGGGCGAGAGCAGUACUAGGAUGGGUGACCCCCUGGGAAGUCCUCGUGUUGCACCU